rnacentral:rRNA from 1 species
UACGUAGGGUGCAAGCGUUGUCCGGAAUUAUUGGGCGUAAAGAGCUUGUAGGCGGCCAGGUAGGUCGGUUGUGAAAACUGGAGGCUCAACCUUCAGAGGUCGACCGAAACCAUCUGGCUAGAGUCCGGGAGAGGAGAGUGGAAUUCCUGGUGUAGCGGUGAAAUGCGCAGAUAUCAGGAAGAACACCCGUGGCGAAAGCGGCUCUCUGGAACGGUACUGACGCUGAGACGCGAAAAGCGUGGGGGAG